GAUGAACGCUGGCGGCGUGCCUAAUACAUGCAAGUCGAGCGAACGGACGAGAAGCUUGCUUCUCUGAUGUUAGCGGCGGACGGGUGAGUAACACGUGGAUAACCUACCUAUAAGACUGGGAUAACUUCGGGAAACCGGAGCUAAUACCGGAUAAUAUUUUGAACCGCAUGGUUCAAAAGUGAAAGACGGUCUUGCUGUCACUUAUAGAUGGAUCCGCGCUGCAUUAGCUAGUUGGUAAGGUAACGGCUUACCAAGGCAACGAUGCAUAGCCGACCUGAGAGGCUGAUCGGCCACCCUGGAACUGGACCACGGUCCUGACUCCUACGGGAGGCCGCAGUAGGGAACCUUCCGCAGUGGGCGAAAGCCUGACGGAGCAACCCCGCGUGAGUGAUGAAGGUCUUCCGAUCGUAAAACUCUGUUAUUAGGGAAGAACAUAUGUGUAAGUAACUGUGCACAUCUUGACGGUACCUAAUCAGAAAGCCACGGCUAACUACGUG
rnacentral:rRNA from 1 species